UGGCUCAGGAUGAACGCUAGCGACAGGCCUAACACAUGCAGGUCGAGGGGCAUCGGGGCGAGGAGCAAUCCUUGCCGCCGGCGACCGGCGCACGGGUGAGUAACGCGUAAGCGACCUGCCCGUUGCAGGGGGAUAAUCGGGAGAAAUCCCGUCUAAUACCGCGUAAUGCCGCGGGGCUGCAUGGCCCUGCGGCCAAAGGAAGCGAUUCCGGCAACGGAUGGGCAUGCGUGACAUUAGCUAGUUGGCGGGGCAACGGCCCACCAAGGCGACGAUGUCUAGGGGUUCUGAGAGGAAGGUCCCCCACACUGGUACUGAAACACGGACCAGACUCCUACGGGAGGCAGCAGUGAGGAAUAUUGGUCAAUGGGCGCGAGCCUGAACCAGCCAAGUCGCGUGAGGGAUGACGGCCCUACGGGUUGUAAACCUCUUUUGUCGGGGAGCAAAUUCCGCCACGUGUGGCGGAGUCGAGAGUACCCGAAGAAAAAGCAUCGGCUAACUCCGUGCCAGCAGCCGCGGUAAUACGGAGGAUGCGAGCGUUAUCCGGAUUUAUUGGGUUUAAAGGGUGCGUAGGCGGACUGUCAAGUCAGCGGUAAAAUACGGGGGCUCAACCUCCGCCCGCCGUUGAAACUGACGGUCUUGAGUGGGCGAGAAGUAUGCGGAAUGCGUGGUGUAGCGGUGAAAUGCAUAGAUAUCACGCAGAACUCCGAUUGCGAAGGCAGCAUACCGGCGCCCAACUGACGCUGAAGCACGAAAGCGUGGGUAUCGAACAGGAUUAGAUACCCUGGUAGUCCACGCAGUAAACGACGAAUACUGGCUGUCCGGGGCGAAUGAGCCCUGGGUGGCACAGCGAAAGCGUUAAGUACUCCACCUGGGGAGUACGCCGGCAACGGUGAAACUCAAAGGAAUUGACGGGGGCCCGCACAAGCGGAGGAACAUGUGGUUUAAUUCGAUGAUACGCGAGGAACCUUACCCGGGCUCAAACGACACAGGAACGUACCUGAAAGGGUUCGGCUCUACGGAGCCUGUGUCGAGGUGCUGCAUGGUUGUCGUCAGCUCGUGCCGUGAGGUGUCGGCUUAAGUGCCAUAACGAGCGCAACCCCCAUCGACAGUUGCUAACAGGUCAGGCUGAGGACUCUGUCGAGACUGCCGGCGCAAGCUGCGAGGAAGGCGGGGAUGACGUCAAAUCAGCACGGCCCUUACGUCCGGGGCGACACACGUGUUACAAUGGCAGGUACAGCGGGAAGCCACCUGGCGACAGGGAGCGGAACCCGAAAGCCUGUCUCAGUUCGGAUUGGAGUCUGCAACCCGACUCCAUGAAGCUGGAUUCGCUAGUAAUCGCGCAUCAGCCACGGCGCGGUGAAUACGUUCCCGGGCCUUGUACACACCGCCCGUCAAGCCAUGGAAGCCGGGGGUGCCUGAAGUGCGCUGCCGCGAGGAGCGCCCUAGGGUAAAACCUGGUGACUGGGGCUAAGUCGUAACAAGGUA
rnacentral:rRNA from 1 species